rnacentral:tRNA from 1 species
GCCUGGGUGGCUCAGUCAUUUGAGCAUCUGACUUCAGCUCAGAUCAUAAUCUCAGGUCAGGGUUCAAGCCCCACAUCAGGCU